UACAGAGGGUGCGAGCGUUGUCCGGAAUCACUGGGCGUAAAGGGCGCGUAGGUGGCCCGACAAGUCUGUGGUGAAAGCUCGACGCUCAACGUCGAGUCGGCCAUAGAUACUGUUGGGCUGGAGCACUGUAGAGGCUCAUGGAAUUCCGGGUGUAGCGGUGGAAUGCGUAGAGAUCCGGAAGAACACCGGUGGCGAAGGCGGCCUGCUGGGCUAUGGCUGACACUGAGGCGCGACAGCGUGGGGAGCAAACAGG
rnacentral:rRNA from 1 species